GACGAACGCUGGCGGCGUGCUUAACACAUGCAAGUCGAACGGAGCACCCUUGAAUGAGACUUCGGUCAAAGGAAAGGAAUGCUUAGUGGCGGACUGGUGAGUAACGCGUGAGGAACCUGCCUUUCAGAGGGGGACAACAGUUGGAAACGACUGCUAAUACCGCAUGACGCAUUCGGAUGGCAUCAUCUGAAUGCCAAAGAUUUAACGCUGAAAGAUGGCCUCGCGUCUGGUUAGAUAGUUGGCGGGGUAACGGCCCACCAAGUCGACGAUCAGUAGCCGGACUGAGAGGUUGACCGGCCACAUUGGGACUGAGAUACGGCCCAGACUCCUACGGGAGGCAGCAGUGGGGAAUAUUGGGCAAUGGGCGCAAGCCUGACCCAGCAACGCCGCGUGAAGGAAGAAGGCUUUCGGGUUGUAAACUUCUUUUAAGAGGGAAGAGCAGAAGACGGUACCUCUUGAAUAAGCCACGGCUAACUACGUGCCAGCAGCCGCAGUAA
rnacentral:rRNA from 1 species